GGACAUCGGGCCGUGGUCUCUGAUGGACGCCGCACAGAGCGGGGACGUGAUCAUGCGGAUGAUGGCUCGGAACUCCAUGUCGGAGAAGCUGGCGCUAGACAUCGACUCGGCGGUGAAGCAGCUGUCGGACCAGGCAUACGAGAUCGCGCUGCAGCAGGUGAGGGAGAACCGCGUGGCCAUGGACAAGAUCGUGGAGGUGCUCCUGGAGAAGGAGACGCUGAGCGGCGACGAGUUCCGGGCCAUCCUGUCCGAGUUCACGGAGAUCCCCGUCGAGAACCGGGUGCCCCCGACGCCCCAGGCCGCCGUCCCGGUCUAGGCUCGUACGCGUUUAUAGGGUUGGAAAGUUUUUUGUUGUUGCUGCUCUUGUAAGAUGUUCAUAUUUCUUGGAUGUACACUAAUUCCUGCUCGAGGCACGGCGUGUAAUGUUAACUCACUCGCGGUUAAUUAUAAGAUGUAAUUACUCCUUGGAAGGAAUUUUUGCGCGGGAGCCUCCGGUUCCCCUUGGGAAGGGAAACUCUGCUUCCUGAUGCAGAAUGGGGGAAGAAAAGAGCCUUGGAUGAUGGCCUUGUGAGGUUUUUCGACAUUUCGAACCUCAACUUCUGCGUUCGACGGUUAGCUAAUCGUAUGAUCUUUCAAGCGGAAUUUGGUUUUGAUUUGGUUUUGUUAGUGAAUUUAUGUACAGACUGAUGCAUUGAACUAUGUCAAAUGUGUGGUUUGUACCCUAGUGCAUCACUUC
rnacentral:lncRNA from 1 species